rnacentral:rRNA from 1 species
AGAGUUUGAUUAUGGCUCAGGACGAACGCUGGCGGCGUGCCUAACACAUGCAAGUCGAGCGGGGACAUUACGACGGAUAUGAAGAUUCGGUUGGAUUUGAAGAUGUAAUGUUCUAGCGGCGGACGGGUGAGUAACGCGUGAGCAACCUGUCCCUUACAGGGGGAUAACACAGCGAAAGUUGUACUAAUACCGCAUAAGACCACAGAGUCACAUGGCUCAGGGGUCAAAGGAGCAAUCCGGUAAGGAGUGGGCUCGCGUCCGAUUAGAUAGUUGGUGAGGUAACGGCCCACCAAGUCGACGAUCGGUAGCCGACCUGAGAGGGUGAUCGGCCACAUUGGGACUGAGACACGGCCCAAACUCCUACGGGAGGCAGCAGUGGGGAAUAUUGGGCAAUGGGGGAAACCCUGACCCAGCAACGCCGCGUGAGGGAAGAAGGUUUUCGGAUCGUAAACCUCUGUCCUUGGUGAAGAGGAAGAGACGGUAGCCAAGGAGGAAGCCCCGGCUAACUACGUGCCAGCCGCCGC